CAGCGGUCGGGGCGUGCUGGGGGUAUCAGAGCCAGGCGCUCCCACCUGUGCCAGGAGGGCAGGACCUGAAACCAGCUGGAGGAGGCGAAUCCCUCUGCCUAUCCCUUCCCCGUGCGUAGCUGUGGGAGAGGAGCAGGGACUCAUCCCUUGGCACAGAGGUAGGUAGCACCCGUCCCCUCCGUGCCACUCGUGGGGCCGUCACCGCAGAUGGACUGCAGCCAUUCAAGGAGGGCUUGAAGCACCGAGCAGCUGUGGCCGCUUCACUGCAUCUGUAUCAACGUGAGCACCCCCAGCACACACCUCCCCACGGAACAGUACCCUCGCAUCCCCAUCCCUCCUUCCUCCCCCACCCCCUCCCCAGCUGACAGCAGAGCGCCGGGUCCGGAGGAGCGAAUAAACAGAUUUGGCCACGCAAAGGAGAUGGAGGCAUUCACGGGAGAGCAUCUGACAGCUUGGGGCGAGCGGAGAGCUGGCGCUGGAGGAGCGAUGGAAUCCCUGGGCGCACAGAGUGCUUCGCCCCGAAGGAAGCAGAGGGUUUUGCCUUUGCUUAACAGAGAGGAAAAGAAGCAGCAGAUCCUCAGCUUUGUGAGCACCAGGUGGUCCCUUUCCCAGCUGGGUGACCCCACCUGCAUGCCACGCUGUGCCACUCCGUGCCGUGCCUCGCUGCCUUGCUGUCCCACCACGUGCUCCCCAUGUUUGCUUUUUCCUCCAAACCUCAGCCUCCAAAAUCACAGAGCCACGCACGAAGGACUGAAUUUUUAACACGUUCUUUAAGGAUUAAAUUUCAAGGCCUCGUAUAUACCCGGAGAGGCUCGGGGAUGCAUACCUAGCAGCAGAGGAUAAGCAUCUAAGAACUGGUAUUUAAAAAUGAAUGAGUCGCGGUGUUCAGAUCAAUCCUGUGAUAUUUAGAAGCCCAAUUCCUGAAGUCUCAGCCUGGGAGAAGGACUUGGAUGGAGCUGGGAAAGACCUCCCAGGGUUGUCCAAGGCAAGAGCCAAGCUUUCAUAGAAUCACAGAAGCAUUAAGGUUGGAAAAGGUGAUGCAGUCCAACCACAGCCCCACUGUGCCCACUGACCACAUCGAGGAAACACAUCAGCCACCAUGAGUAGGGUCAGGGCACUGCUGACACAAACACCACCUGCAGCAGCACGGGGAAAGCAGAGGACUGCAUUUAUUUUUAGAUGCAAAGCAUUUGUGUUUCCCUCUUUUAUGGAGAUGGGCUGAAAAGAGUGAGAACAGAUGAUGGCGUUGAAUUCCCGAUCCAACACUUCAGAUGUGUGCCAUCAAAAUAGCAUUGCAAACAGACCCUACCCACAGCUCUGGGUCCCUCUCAAGAAGCCCUGAACAGAAGCUGCUGUGCUGCGGGGCUGGGAGCAGCGCCCUGCCUGCACGGAAAGCAUGGAAAUGCAUUUUGAUGUUCCCUUUGAAUCACUCCCCUCUCCUCCUUCUCAUCCUUAAGGUGCUCUUAAUAAAGCCAGAGGGAGAAAAGCUCUUUGGAUUGUAGAUGAGCAGGAUGUUUUCAUCCUUCUUGAAUUUACCCUGUAAUCUUGUUUAGAAGUGGAAUACCGAGCGCUAGAAGUAUCAGUUUGUG
ensembl:lncRNA